rnacentral:rRNA from 1 species
UCGCCUACGGGGCGCAGCAGUGAGGAAUAUUGGUCAAUGGGCGGGAGCCUGAACCAGCCAAGUCGCGUGAGGGAAGAAGGUACUGAGUAUUGUAAACCUCUUUUGCCAGGGGACAAAGGCGGCCACGGGUGGCCGUAAGAGGGUACCUGGAGAAAAAGCAUCGGCUAACUCCGUGCCAGCAGCCGCGGUAAUACGGAGGAUGCGAGCGUUAUCCGGAUUUAUUGGGUUUAAAGGGUGCGCAGGCGGAAGAUCAAGUCAGCGGUAAAAUUGAGAGGCUCAACCUCUUCGAGCCGUUGCAACUGGUU